rnacentral:rRNA from 1 species
CUACGGGUUGCACCAGUGGGGAAUAUUGCACAAUGGGCGCAAGCCUGAUGCAGCCAUGCCGCGUGUAUGAAGAAGGCCUUCGGGUUGUAAAGUACUUUCAGCGGGGAGGAAGGGAGUAAAGUUAAUACCUUUGCUCAUUGACGUUACCCGCAGAAGAAGCACCGGCUAACUCCGUGCCAGCAGCCGCGGUAAUACGGAGGGGUGCAAGCGUUAAUCGGAAUUACUGGGCGUAAAGCGCACGCAGGCGGUUUGUUAAGUCAGAUGUGAAAUCCCCGGGCUCAACCUGGGAACUGCAUCUGAUACUGGCAAGCUUGAGUCUCGUAGAGGGGGGUAGAAUUCCAGGUGUAGCGGUGAAAUGCGUAGAGAUCUGGAGGAAUACCGGUGGCGAAGGCGGCCCCCUGGACGAAGACUGACGCUCAGGUGCGAAAGCGUGGGGAGCAAACAGGAUUAGAUACCCCAGUAGUC